CUCAACAGCAACACCCAGGUGAGGGCAGUCUUGCUUGAAUAGCUAAUGAUUCUUGAAAAAUAGCAAGUGCCGGGGAACCAAAUUCUGGAUUCUUGUCUUGAGCCUUUUUAUGCAUCCGCUUCAGUUUUAGGUGUGGCAAGGGAAGGGAGCAGGCUUUGGGAAGGAACCACUGCUCUUAAGCCUGGCCUUUUUUUCCACUAGGUAGUUUUGCUGUCAGCCACGAUGCCUUCUGAUGUGCUUGAGGUGACCAAGAAGUUCAUGAGGGACCCCAUUCGGAUUCUUGUCAAGAAGGAAGAGUUGACCCUGGAGGGUAUCCGCCAAUUCUACAUCAACGUGGAACGAGAGGAGUGGAAGCUGGACACACUAUGUGACUUGUAUGAAACCCUGACCAUCACCCAGGCAGUCAUCUUCAUCAACACCCGGAGGAAGGUGGACUGGCUCACCGAGAAGAUGCAUGCUCGAGAUUUCACUGUAUCUGCCAUGCAUGGAGAUAUGGACCAAAAGGAACGAGACGUGAUCAUGAGGGAGUUUCGUUCUGGCUCUAGCAGAGUUUUGAUUACCACUGACCUGCUGGUGAGUAGAGGGAAC
rnacentral:sRNA from 1 species